ACGCUCGACACCUACGGAAGCAGCAGUGGGGAAUAUUGCACAAUGGGGGAAACCCUGAUGCAGCGACGCCGCGUGGAGGAAGAAGGUCUUCGGAUUGUAGACUCCUGUUGUUAGGGGAAAAAGAGGAUGGUACCCAACAAGGAAGUGACGGCUAACUACGUGCUAGCAGCCGCGGUAAUCUGAGCGGGCUGGCAAGGC
rnacentral:rRNA from 1 species